AGGGUUUCCCCAUCAUAGAUUCCAACCUGUGCUACCCAGGCCUCCCAACAGUCAAGCUUUGGCUUGUUUUACGGGGUGAAUAAGCAGCUGAAGAACUGUGGGAAAGCUCAGAAUAAGAGGCAGGAGGAUCAACAGAUGCGCUAACCAACACAGAUGAACAGGAACACUGUGGGCUGAGACCAGCAGGGUUUCCCCAUCAUAGAUUCCAACCUGUGCUAUCAAGGCCUCCUAACUGUCAAGCGCAUCCUACCAUUAGCAGAAACUGUAGUCCUGUGGAGUACUUUUCACAGUACAGUUGUCCCUCACUACAUCACGGUUC